rnacentral:rRNA from 1 species
CGAAGGGGGCAAGCGUUGUUCGGAAUCAUUGGGCGUAAAGCGCGUGUAGGCGGUCUAUUAAGUCGAGUGUGAAAUCCCUGGGCUCAACCGAGGAAGUGCAUUCGAAACUGGUAGGCUAGAAGAUGGUAGAGGAUGGUGGAAUUCCAGGUGUAGAGGUGAAAUUCGUAGAUAUCUGGAGGAAUACCGGUGGCGAAGGCGGCCAUCUGGGCCAUUCUUGACGCUGAGACGCGAAAGCGUGGGUAGCAAACAGGAUUAGAUACCCUGGUAGUCCACGCCGUAAACGAUGGGUACUAGGUGUUGUGGGAAUUGACCCCCACAGUGCCGCAGCUAACGCAUUAAGUACCCCGCCUGGGAAGUACGGCCGCAAGGUUA